rnacentral:rRNA from 1 species
AUGGAAGGUCAGAUAUGUCCGUUCAACCACCGCCAACCGAGGUCGUUCAACGACGCGCCGGGCAAAGAAUAUCAAGUAAAUAAGCAACUUCGACAUGCCAAUGGGACCUUUUUAUUAAGGGCUUUGACUACGACUGAUGGAAGUUGGUAUUCUGUGACGUUGCGCUCAGCGGCAGGAGGGCGAGGAUCUCUUCUUCUCGGCAGUACAACUGCACCCUCCGGCGCCGUUCACGAGAAGAGCUACGUGCAGGCCACCUGUGCUCCACCCUGGAUUUUUUCAAUAAUCAGGUCGUCGUCGUCAGGGUUCCUGCCCCACGGCAGUCAUACUGGCUCAUGCGCCACUGUCGUCGGUCCUUUUUCGGUUGGAGAUAGGUAG